rnacentral:rRNA from 1 species
CGGUCCCAUUCCGAACCCGGUAGCUAAGGCCAGGCGCGGCGAUGGUACUGCACUCGAGAGGGUGUGGGAGAGUAGCACGCCGCCGCUU